GGCCUGGAGGGGCGCGUUUACGGGUUUUCGAAGUGGUGCGGGGGUACUCGGCGGGAGCGACGUCACGCUCCAGAUUCCUAACCUGCUAUCUGCUGGGCGGAGCCUCUGAGUUUAGCUGAGUCUCGGAGAUGGAAUUGGGGCAGGCGCUUGUCACAUAAAGUCCGUGCCCUGCUCGCGGGCUCAUGUCGCAACACUGACAAACCCGGGAGCCUUCGUGAGAGUGCAAAAAUGAGAGAUGAGGCACCAGAGGUCCCCAGGGCGCAAAUCUGAAAGCCAGCGCCUCCUGAGCACAGGCUGCCAGGGGCGAGACGACAUUAGACAUUGCCCCCCAGAUAUAAGAAGCAUCGCUUCCUUCAGACAGAGCAGAUUGAUAGAUGAAGCAUAAAACAAGACCAGAUGCUGUGGUUUCCAGGAUGCACUUGGCUUCCCAUCCUUUAUGACCUGGAGCAUUUUUUGCCGUCUGUUCCUGAUGUGUCCACCAGAGACCAGUCCCAUUAGGUAUCCAUAAGGUUUAAGAACAUGGUCAUUGCAACCCAACAGACUUGACUUUAGAUGACCAAGGUUUGGGUGAUACCACAUAGCCUGUGGACUUCCUGCUUCCUGGAAUGGCUUCACUGUUGUGAGGAUAGGAAAUGAGAGAAAGAUGAGCCUACUGUAAUUCUGAGGAUCAGGGCAUCCUUAGUCUACGUGAACAAAGAUGGUAGAAAGACAGCACUAUAGUUGGUUUGCAUUCUGUGCCCUGAAGCAGAAAUGUCUUUAAGGCCUCCUUUACCCUCUGUUAACUGCAAAAUAAACAGAUGUCUAGUAGAAAAGGUUAUUAUCAACAUUCUGUGCAAUUUGGGAGAACAAGAAGUUGGGAUCGCUUGACCUAGCUUCCAACAGCAAACUCAGGCCAAGUAAACUACCAAGGUAAGUAUACUACCAAAAGUAGCUUACUCUUAGGGCAAAAUUUUUCUGGUUUACAAGUUUCUGGAUGUAAUUGAAAAGGACAGUACAUUUCAAAAAUAGAAUAAUGGCCAUUCUCAGUCAGGGACCAGUUUAAUUCUACUUAAAGACUGAGAACACUUAAUGUGCCAAAUUCAAUUCAUAAGAAAAAGUUGACCAGUUAAUAGGACAAGUGCCUCAACAGAAUAUGAAAUGCAGACAGUCCUAUUUUACAGCUACAAGUUAUUUUAAAAAUCAUUAUAAAGACUAUAAUAAAAUAAUAAAAUAUAAUAUUUUAUAGUUAGUAAGUCCACAAGAACACAUUAAUAAGACACAUCUCAAUUAAGCAUUCCUUUGU